rnacentral:lncRNA from 1 species
UUGUAGAAUUAAUUAAUUAAUUUUUAAAAUCUAUAGAGAAAUAUCAUAGCCUGCAAAACAAACAAUCACAUACCACUUAUCACGACAAAAGAAAUAUCACAUCUAUCACAAAAAGAAAAGCAAAUGCAAUUUAAAAAAAAAAAUUAAAACAAAUGCGUACUUUGGUUAAGAACUGAAAAUUGAAUCAAUAGGAGAAUUGACACCACAGUUUCAGAUCUGUCUCUCACAAAUCAGUCUAAUUCUAAGCUAUGACCUUAAUUAUGUGAUCUCAUUCUUUGUGUAGACAUACACAAUAAACACAUGCACAAAAGGCUUCGAAUGAAUAAGCAGUAUAGGACGUAACAUAAACAAUUAAUCAAAUUAAAAUAUGAUAAAAUUGAUUUGAAAAUUAAUGUGAAAGCAAGCCUAAAAGUAUCGAUGAUUGAAAAUUCAAUUCUAAGCAUGCACCCCCAAGCUUAAUUAAAAUUAAUUUGAGUUUUGAUCGGUAGUAUCCAAAAAGAAAGAAAAGGAAAACACCGAAAAAAAGGUGGGCAAAGAUAUUGUCAUUACUCAUAAUUAAGACAAACUGUCAUGCCUGCUACAAAAUCAAGAUCCUCAAGUAUAUACUAGUUAUUAUUGCCUUUAAUUUGUUCUAAUGAAUUAUAUAUAUAUUUUUUGUAUAAGUUAUUAGUCCUUUCUUUUUCCUAGGUUAUUUUUAUUUUUACUUUUUUAUUUUUUUGAAAUAGGAAUUUUAUGGACGUGGGAAAAAAUAUAGGCAAAUUAAAUGUCUUGGGUUGGGUUUACGUACAUAAAUAUGACAGAAAAGCACCUGCGUCUACAGAGAUUAAAUAACACAUUCUUCAAUCUUUAUUAGCAUCAAAGCCAUCACCAACUAAGCAACAUCACAGCCAUGGACGAAGAAACCACUAAACCAUUUGAAUGGCCGAGUGUGAUCUUUCCUUUAUGUUUCACCUUGCCCUUUGAUUCAUGGCUUUAUCCUAUCCUUCAGUUAAAAGCGAUCCUUCUCGUUCAGUUUAUGUUGCUUUUUUUGCCCUUCUACUCGCGUUUCUUAUUCUUUUUGCUUCCAACUCAUCUCUGACAAACUUCCAUUUGCCUCACAAGUCAUGGAGAUAGUUUCUUAUCUACCAGGGCUGAAGUUUGCUUCUUGGGCAACAAACUGAUCUAUCCUUUUUGGUGCCCAAGAAGCAGGGGCGGAACAACGAACAACCCAACCUUGGUCGGGGGGCCAAAGAAUUUUUUCAAAAAAAUUUAAUAAAAUUUUUAAUGUAAAUAAGUAAUUAUUAAUAUAAUAUAAAAUAUUGAGUAUUAAUUUUAUUUAUUUUUAAUAGAGGCCAUGACUCAUGCUUGUCCUUUAAUAGAUCCGCUCACGCCAAGAAGUAUACUUCACCAUAGUGGAUAUAAGGAACUAUGUCCAUGACUUGGGAUGCAAAUGGAUGUUCAAACUUUUUUGUGGUUUCUUUGUCCAUGGUUAUAAUGUUGCUUAGUCAAGGUGCAUUUGGAAGUGAUGUGUGCAGUCCAAUUGCAAAAGUAUUUAGCAACACCUUGUAGUUGAGUUUUGACAGUUCAACAAUAAUUUUUUUUAGUUCUUUUUCACAACUAUAAUUUUUACUACAUAAUGGAUGCAAAGCUAUUCGACAUUGCAUUAGCUUGCUUCUUAAAAACAAUCGUAGCACCACUUCUAUAAGUUUGUAAAUGUUUAUUAAAGGAACUUGCUUGGAGAGGUUCUUGGAGACGCGGGCCAUAAUUGAGUGUGAAAGAGAUCUGCAGAAUCUUCACAAACAGCUUGAAGAGCUCGAUCGUGUACUGGCAGGCAAAGGAGAAGGUACUCGAUUUUUUCAAUGCUCCAAUUUUUUUUGAAUGAAAUGUCUCUUAACCAAUAAAAAAUAAAUAGCAAUCUCCCCAAUAUUUUUAUUUUAUUUUAUUUAAGCACACACAGAUUGAUAUUAUUAAGCAAUUUCAGUUUUAUACAAUAUAACACAAACUCUCAUAUUAAAGAAUUUAUGGUGUGUUUAAAGUAACACAAGUUCACAACUCAGUGGUGCAACAACAGCUGUAUAAAGAACUGGAAACAUGUACCUAUCAAAAGCAAAUGGUAUCACUGCUGAUACAACUCUGCAACUCAGAGUUUAUAUCCUAGAUUUACACUUUUCGAGUAAGUGCUGACUCCAGCAAAAAGAAGCAAAAGAAUUGAAAUUAAUGGAGAAACAGAGAUAGCAGGAGAGACGGAGAGAGAGAAGAAGAAAUAUUUGCCAUUUUCUUGCUUUCUAUGACGUGUUCCUCUCUACAUAUAUCUUUUACCCCUCAACAUUACACGUGUAACUAACCAACAAAUGAAUGAUUCAAAGAAAAAACAGUCACAACAAAAUAACAAAAUCACAGCUGCCAUCUUUUCCACUCUCUUUGUGCCUUCUCGAAUAUUCCUUAGGUAAUGUAAUCUUUGAGGUAUGUUGGUGCCCUGCGCAUACGAGCUGGACCUUUUGUGUGCUCCUCAACCAGCUGGGCUUCUUUCUCUGUUUCCCAUGCUGACUUGUCAUUAAUCUCGGGCAAGGUUGUAUCAACUGCCUUACAUGGAAACUAACAUAUUUAUUAAGAAAGGAAAUUACAGAAGAGCCUGUUAGGGUACAAAACCUCGUGAGCUUGACAAUCUCACCAAUGAAAUUGCAGAUGACGAUGGUAAGCAACGAGACGGCAUAGAGAGACCACGUCGCAUACUUGAGCUUCGCGGAAUAUGGAAUUGUAGUCGCCAAGACCAAUGCAGUGGCGGCAACGAUGGCAGCAGCUUUCUCUAGCACUUGGGAUGCAGCAGCAAACUUGUGCACAAUAAAUUUCGAAACAAAGAGAGAAAGGAAUGUCGUUAGGAUAGCAAAUGAAAGCACGCAGUAUAAAGGAGAAAGUUCUGACUUAGGCUGAGCAAACAGGAUGGUGAUAUCGAUGGCUGAUGAGAAGCAAAAUGCGAUGAUCACAUUCUGCCAUUCAAGGACUCUUCUGGCUUCGUCCAUAAAUGGUCCCUGUAAUGUUGGUGGCUUUGAAUAUUUAGGUGAAAUAAAAUGUGCACUGAAUCUUUUGUAAACGUAGUGCCCAAGCUAUAUGUGUUGAUGUCGUUAUUUAUAGAGUGAGAUGGCGCCGGAUCAUCUUAGGUUAGUGAGCUUUUGUGUUCUUGUCAAUAUCUUUGACUUUUUUCGGACAAAAUGAGUAAGUAAUGCUGAGAUUCCUCUGCCGCUAUUAUAACUAAGGAAAAAUGAGUCUUGCAAAGUUACAAUUGCAAUAAAGAUCUACGGGACUCAUGGUCGAUCGGAGCUAAAAAAUUAUCCAAUCGACUAAGUUUAACCAAAUUAAGGUUCAUGUUGUCGGAUUUGAUCACCAAACGUGAUUCACAUUCAUUUAAUUUCUUCAUGCAUCCCCCGCUCGAUAGACGUUAAAACAUUAGCUAAAUAUUUCUUUAAUCCCUACAGUUUAGGUUAAUUAUAUAAUUAGUUCAUAUAUUUUUGUAAAAUUAUCAAGAAGGUUUUUGUUGUGCAUUUUGUUUCCUAUUCAAAAUCAUAAAACAAUCUACUCCUUAUCAUCUAUUUUUCACUUGUUGCAUGUCAAAUUUAUUUAAAUUUCAAGUUAUAUUAAAUAAAAAUAUUUUUUUUUCCUUAUAAAGUCAAGUCCAACAAUUACGAAAGUUAUGAUAGUGGUGUUUAAAAUAAUUUUUAAAAAUAAAAGAACUAAUUAAAAAUUUUAAUUCAACUAUAGGUACUAAUAAAAUGUUUAUCCUAAAACAUUACUUUUUUCAAUUUUCAUUUUUUGGUUUCAUAUUUUUCUGACGGAAAAUUGGUGAGUCCUUGUGUCCACCUGAUUCUCGUACCAAGUCAUUUUCACACCAAGCAUAUAAUGACGUGUUUAAAUUGAGUUGGAAUGAAGUGGCUGUAAAGAAAAAUGAAAAAAAAGGGCGAAUUUUCAAAUUAAUUUAUACUAUUUACUUUUUUAUUAUUUUUAUAAUAUUUAAAACUCUACGCCAAAAAAAUUUGAGGAAAAGAGGGAUAAACGAAUUUACUUGAUAAUUUAUUUUAAAAAUAUAAAAUAUAUGGAUAGAGCUAUUUGAAUCCGUUAAUUUCCUUCAAACACCUAUUUUUUAAAAUUAAAAUAAUUUUUAAAUUAUAACUUAUUUUUUUAAUUCAAAACUUCUCAAAAAUUAUAAAAUUACCCCUAAUUAACUACUUUCUCUCUAUAUUGAAACAAUGAUCCGAGCCUAAAUUACUUUCUCUCUUUUAAUUUUUCUUUUAAUUCUUUCUUGAUAAAUCAACUUUAUCUUUCCCUUACUUUUCACUAAACAUUAUUGUUAGUAAAUUGGUGGGGGCAGCAGGACCGCAACUAAAAUAAAAUUGGAAAUAAAAUAAAGAACAAGCACAAUAGAGGACACUAGAAAAUUACGUGGUUCGGCUUUUAGCCUACGUCCACGGGCGAAGACAGAAGGAAAUAUUUUACUAGUGAAAAGGAGUUACAAGUAUUGUAGUAUUUUAGCUCACUUCCCAAAACCCCAAUACACCCAAACUCUCUAACUCACUAGACACUCAAGAGUUUAUUAAACUCUUAAAACUCUCAACACUCAAGAAAGCAAUGCUUCUCUCUCGAUAGAAAUUGAAUACAAAUGAAUGAGUGAGCUCUUCCUUUUAUAGCCAAAAUCUUGGCUACUAUUCACGUAUUUUUUUUUUUAAUUAUUUAUUAUUAUUCAAAAUUUCAAAAUUCAAAGUUUGAUAUUCAAACUUUGAAUAUCUAGAAUUUUGAAUUUGAUAUUCAAAGUUUGAAUAUCUAGAAGUUUGAUUUUGAUAUUCAAACUUUGAAUAUCAAGACACCCAAUCUUGACAUUCUCCCACUUGGAGAUUUGAUUGAGAACCAAUCAAUCUCCACACCAUCCUUUCUGCUUCGCCAUUGUCAUGUUGCCUACGUUGCUGCUAGGCCACAAGAGGAUCUACUCCAGACAAACUUGUCAGUAGUGAUCGGCUUGGUCAAAACAUCUGCUAGGUUCUCUUUGGUAUGGAUUUUCUGCAAAUCCACACUUCCAUCUUCCACUACUUCACGAACGAAGUGAUACUGAACUCCUAUGUGCUUUGUCCUGGAAUGAAAGGCUGGAUUCCUUGCAAUGUGCAAGGCACUCUGACUGUCACAAAAUACAGGAAUUUUCUGUUGUUUGUGCCCGAGCUCCUCCAAUAACCUUUGUAUCCAAAUAGCUUCCUUGCAAGCUUGUGUAGCUGCCAUGUAUUCUGCUUCUGUUGUAGAUAAAGCCACAACGGUCUGCAGUUUCGAAACCCAGCUUACAGCUGCUCCCGCAAGUGUAAACACAUAACCAGUAGUGGAUUUUCUUUUAUCAAGAUCUCCUGCAAAAUCUGAAUCCACAUAACCCCUGACAGUAAACUCUGAUCCUCCAUAACAUAAUGCAACAUCUGAGGUUCCUCUGAUGUAUCUCAGAAUCCUCUUCACAGCUAUCCAAUGCUCUCCACCAGGAUUCGCCAUGUAUCGACUGACUGCUCCCACUGCAUGUGCAAUGUCCGGUCUAGUACAUAUCAUAGCGAACAUCAAACUUCCCACUGCUGAUGCAUACGGUACUCGAGACAUCUUCUUCCUCUCUGCUUCAUUGCUAGGACACAUACUUGAGGAUAAUUUGAAAUUAACAGGGAGUGGGGUAGAAAUUGACUUACAAUCUUGCAUGUUGAAGCGUCGCAAGAUUUUCUUCAAGUAAUUCUUCUGUGAAAGCCAAAUCUUCCUGUUAUUUCUGUCUCGGUGAAUUUGCAUCUCUAGAAUCUUGUUUGCUGGUCCCAAGUCCUUCAUUUCAAACUCCCUAGCCAACUGUGCCUUCAAUUCUUGGAUUCGAUCUUUGUUGGGACCUGCUACCAACAUGUCGUCCACAUACAACAGCAAAAUGAUGAAAUCAUUAUCUUCAAACCUCUUGUAAUAUGUACAAUGAUCUGAACUGAGUCUGUUGUAUCCAAGGCUCAUGAUGAAUGAAUCAAAUCUCUUAUACCAACACCUCGGCGCCUGUUUGAGACCGUAUAGAGAUUUGUUCAACCUGCAAACCAAGUUCUCUUUUCCUUUUUCUGCAAAACCUUCUGGUUGGAGCAUAUAUAUUUCUUCUUCAAGUUCUCCAUGAAGAAAUGCAGUUUUAACAUCUAACUGCUCUAAAUGUAGGUCAAAUGUAGCACACAUUGCCAAGACUAUUCUGACUGUUGUGAGUCGAACCACUGGAGAAAAUAUCUCGUUGAAGUCAAUACCUUCUUUCUGAGCAUAUCCUUUCACCACCAAUCUUGCACGAUACCGCUCCACUUGGUCAUUGCCAUCACGCUUGAUCUUAUAGACCCAUUUGUUUCCAAUGGCUUUUCUUCCACGUGGUAGUGGUACAAGUUCCCAUGUCUUGUUCUUGUGUAGAGCUUCAAUUUCUUCCUGCAUUGCUGUCAUCCACAAAGCAAUAUCUGAACUGUUUAAAGCUUCAUGGAAAGUUGAAGGCUCUCCAUCCUCUGUUAGAAGACAAUAUGCAACGUUGAUCUCUGUGACAUACUCCGAGUGCCACGUCGGCGGUCGUCUCUCACGAGUUGACCGACGAACUUCUGGAGCCUCAGACUCGACUGGUUCUUGUUCCUCUUGCUCUGGUGCUGCUUCAGAAGAAUCUGAAUCUUCUAGAUUAUUUUCCACAUAUACUGGCACAGUCUCUGACUUUUCUUUUGUAGUGCCAUCAUCCUCAUCUCUCCUUUGCAAUUGAUCUUCUACAAAGAUAACAUCUCUGCUGAUGACGAUCUUGUGGGCAGUGGGGUCCCACAGACGAUACCCCUUUACUCCAUCAGCAUACCCUAAGAAGAUACAUCUUCUAGAUUUUGGAUCCAGCUUUGUUCUUUCUUGGGCAUUGUACAUCACGUACACAUGACAUCCAAAUGCAUGUAGGUAGGAAUAAUCAGCUGGCUUUCCAGUCCACAUCUCCAUCGCUGUCUUCAACCCAAUAGCUGUAGAUGGCGACCGAUUUACUAUAUAACAGUCGGUCUUGGCUGCUUCUGCCCAGAAUGAAUUGGGUAAACUAGCAGUCCUCAACAUAGCUCUUAUUCUUUCUGUAAGAGUUCUGUUCAUCCGCUCCGCUACUCCGUUUUGUUGAGGAGUGUAUGCCACCGUGAACUGCCUCUGAAUACCUUCUUGCUUACAGAAAGCAAGAAACUCUCCGUCUGUAUAUUCUCCACCAUUGUCUGUCCUUAAGCACUUGAUCUUUUUACUAGAUUCAAGUUCCAACUGCGCUUUGUAUUCUUUAAACACAGGAAAUACAUCUGACUUUUUCUUAAUUGGAUACACCCAACAUCUUCUGGAAUAAUCAUCAAUGAAAGUCACCAUGUACUUUGCACCUCCCAUAGAUAUAUCCGGUGAUUCCCAAACAUCAGAAUGAAUCAAGUCUAGAAUGCAUUUACUUCUAGCAAUAGAUCUACUGAAUUUUAAUCUAUGCUGCUUACUUGUAACACAAUGCUCGCAAAAUGGUAAACUUACCGAUUUGAGCCCCGGAAGCAAUUUUCGCUCAGAGAGAAUCUUCAAGCCUUGUUCUGACAUGUGGCCAAGUUUGAGAUGCCACAUCAUCGUUGAUUCUUCUCCAUUUGAUGCGACACACGCAUCAGCCUCCUGUAGUGUUUCUCCUUUAAGCAUGAAUAAAUUAGCACCGAUCUUUUCUGCCUUCAUCAAUACAAGCGCACCUUUAACGAUCUUCAUUAUUCCAUUUUCUACAUGAGUUUUGAACCCAUGACUAUCCAUUUGUCCCAAAGACAAUAGAUUUUUCUUCAGGCCAUUGACAUGUCGUACCUCCCCAAUUGUGCGAAUUGUACCAUCAAACAUUUUUAUUUUGAUAGUACCAAUACCAGCGUUCUCUAAGGCAUGAUUGUUACCCAUAUAUACAGAUACUCCUGAGAUAGGUUCAUAUGUGUGGAACCAUUCUCUCUUAGAGGUCAUGUGCCAGGUAGCUCCUGAGUCUAUAAGCCAGACAUCAGAUAGUCGUUUUCUGCCUUCUGAAACAGUUGUUGCCUCGCUGUAGAGAAUUUCACCAUCAUCUGAGGUACUUGCUACACAACCCUGAGCAUUUGAUGACUCAGGUUCUUUGCCCUCUCUUCUCUUCUGGUUACUCCAACACUCUUUCUUGACGUGCCCUUUCUUGCCACAGUUGUAGCAUUUAACAUUCUUCUUACUUCUGGAUUUUGAUCUACCCUGAUUUUGACUCCCACUGGGGCCACGUUCCGUUGAUCUCCCUCUCGUCACUGAUAGCGCUUCUGCUUGCUGCGAACUUGCUUGUCUGUUUUCCUUGUUUUUCCGCCUGCUCUCCUCAUUUAAUACGGAGGCUGCAACAUCGUCGAAAACUAGACCCUCCACUGGAUUGUUGUUCGUCAGGUUGAUGAUGAGUUGAUCAUACGAAUCUGGUAGACUUUGAAGUAGAAGCUCUGCACGUUCAUUUUCCUCUAUAUUAUGACCCAACGUUGUGAGUUGUGAAAAUAGAGUCUUCAAUGUGUUGAUGUGGUCGGUCACCAUUGUAGAUUCCGCCAUUCGAAGAGUAUAGAGUUUUCUCUUCAAGAAGAUUUUGUUGUGUAGUGACUUGGCCUCGUACAAUUUUGUGAGAGUAUCCCAAAUUUCCUUCGCCGUAUUUUUCUCUGCCACACUAGAUAAUACUCCAUCCGCAAGUGCCAAGUGUAGAUCAGAAAUAGCGUUGCCGUCUACCUCGUUCCACUUGUCAUCAGUUAUCUCCAUGGGCCUUUCUCCAAUUGCUGCCAAACAAUUAUUUUUCCUCAAUACAGCUUUCAUCUUCAUUUUCCACAACGAAAAAUUAUUUCCGUUAAACUUCUCAAUUUCAUAUUUUGCGGCCAUUUUGUUGAUAAUACUGCACACAAGCUAGUAUACCACCUUGAAUAGUUGUGAGUAUGUGUGAGAAUGCACACCAGGAAAGUUCCCAGGAAAGACUGGAGGGGUCACAAUGGUCCCACUUAAAACCCAGACUCCUUAAGCUCUUAUCGCCUUUGUGACAGAACUUUCCUAGACAUGUACAAAAACCACACAGUUGUUUUACUCACACUACUAUUCCCUGCUUUGCACCGUAAAAUUUUUGGAUCGUUCCCACCGUUUCACGUGAAUAGUACCGUAUACGUGAAUAGUGCCGUAUACGUGAACCGUACCGUAUACUUGAAUAGUGCCGUAUACGUGAACAGUACCGUACUCCAAAAAAUACAACCAAUAGCUCUGAUACCACUGUUAGUAAAUUGGUGGGGGCAGCAGGACCGCAACUAAAAUAAAAUUGGAAAUAAAAUAAAGAACAAGCACAAUAGAGGACACUAGAAAAUUACGUGGUUCGGCUUUUAGCCUACGUCCACGGGCGAAGACAGAAGGAAAUAUUUUACUAGUGAAAAGGAGUUACAAGUAUUGUAGUAUUUUAGCUCACUUCCCAAAACCCCAAUACACCCAAACUCUCUAACUCACUAGACACUCAAGAGUUUAUUAAACUCUUAAAACUCUCAACACUCAAGAAAGCAAUGCUUCUCUCUCGAUAGAAAUUGAAUACAAAUGAAUGAGUGAGCUCUUCCUUUUAUAGCCAAAAUCUUGGCUACUAUUCACGUAUUUUUUUUUUAAUUAUUUAUUAUUAUUCAAAAUUUCAAAAUUCAAAGUUUGAUAUUCAAACUUUGAAUAUCUAGAAUUUUGAAUUUGAUAUUCAAAGUUUGAAUAUCUAGAAGUUUGAUUUUGAUAUUCAAACUUUGAAUAUCAAGACACCCAAUCUUGACAAUUAUAAGCUCUUACCUGUGAUGAUCAUAAAGUUUGCACUUCUGAUAUUUGACCCCAAAAACAAAAAAUUCUAAUAGAUUCAAAGUGGCAUAGAAACUUUUAUUUUUAAUUCUUACAUGAUGGGUAUUAUUGUUUUUGUUAGGGAAAUUUAAUCUCACCCAAGAUCUUAUAAGCAAGAAUAUCAAACAAAUAAUAAACUGAAAAAUAGAUGGAGAAUAAAACUAAUCACACAAUACAAGAAUUUACGUGGAAAAUUCUUAUACCAAAGAAAAACAACGGCCACCAAAGACGACGAGAGAAAAAUCCAGUAUGUGAAAAAUUAUUACAAUCACUCUAGUAUGUUUUCGUACACCCAAAAUCUUAAUAACAUCCAAUCUCUCAAUAGACCUAUUGUUUCUCUCAUACUAGAAACUAUCUACCUAUAGAAAAGUGGUUAUUGUGUUAUGCCAACAAGUGAAUCCAACCUCUCUAUAUAUAGUGAUUAUUUUUGUAUAAGAUGUAUUCUUAUUCUUAUACUGGUUGUACUUCUCCUUUAAUAAGUUAAGUCUCAAAAAGAAAAAAAGGAAAAAUAUUCAUCGUCCACCUUUUUUUCAACUUUUUAAAAAAUACACAAUUCUUUUUUCUUUUUUUUUUUUGCUGGAAUCCACCUAAAAUUACAUUUCGUUUCACUUUCCACUUCCGUUUGGAAUCUGUUAAGAAAACUAAUGGAAACUUAAGCAAAUGACCAUUUUGCCCCCCAAAAAUAAAAAUUACAAUUUCACCCUAAAAAUGCCAAAAAUAAUCAGAUUAAAUAUUGUAGAUGUUAGCUCCCAACGGCUACAAUUUGAUCUAACAACUACAAUUUGAGGCAUAUAAACACAAAAAUCAGCAUGCAUGAAGAAGUCAUUCAACCAUGCAAGCUGCUCCCAACCAGCCAUAUAAACNNNNNNNNNNNNNNNNNNNNNNNNNNNNNNNNNNNNNNNNNNNNNNNNNNNNNNNNNNNNNNNNNNNNNNNNNNNNNNNNNNNNNNNNNNNNNNNNNNNNUCAACCAUCAUCCACACAUCACCUGAUUAACCAUUUAUUGAAACACAUCAUCUACACAUUCAAAAUGGCAUCAAGUUAUAGUUCAAGUUCUGCAGCCAGUGGACAACCACUUGGAAAAAUUAAAUGCAUUCCCAAGUACUGCUGGUGUGGCGUGCAGGCGUGUGCUAUGGUUUCCACUACACCACAAAAUCCUAAUGCAAUGUUUUGGUCAUGCAAGUUGAAUAAAUGCAAGUUUUGGCAAUGGUUUACUACUGAAGCUCUCAUAUACCCUAGUAGUAGUGAUCAAAUGAUAGAUAAUCAAAAUUUAGAGCCAAAUACAGUAAACUUUGGAGCUGAUGAGAUGGUAAAGAUAAAGAAAAGGCUUAGGCUCAUUGAAGGGAAGCUUAAAUAUGUAAUAAUACUGCUAGUUUGUCUCUGUGUAAUUGUGUUUAUUAAAAUGUAAUGUCUCCUAUAAAACAUGCAUUACUGAAAUAAAAGCUUAAUUAUGACAGUCCUAGUAUCUAUCUUUGCAAUUGCAUUUAAGUACACCCUAAAUAACAUUUCGUUAACCACAAUAAUUGAAAAAUAUCAUAUUAUAGUUAUCCAAAAAUACAACCAAAAUAACCAUUAAUCAUAUCAUCAAAAUACAUCCUAAAUGACCAUUGACAGCCACAUAAGUAUCCAAAAUAUCGCCAAAAUAACCAGUAAUAUGCCAAAAUAACAACCAAAAUGGCUAGUUAACAAGUUUAGUUUGUUCCCAUUACAAAGAACCUGUGAUAAUUGAAGCUUGAGAUGGAUUUUGGGAUUGGUUCAGUCCUGGACUUAAUUGUCUUUCCCUGGUUCCAGCACCUUGAAGAGCCCUUCUUUUCCUUAUUCCAACAUUGGAACUUUGACCUGGGGCACUAGGUAUCUAAAUUAUAUAUUAUGUUAGUUUAAGAACUUGAACAAAAAAAAUAAAAAAAAACAAAAAUAUACAAAUAUUCAACCAAGAUAAUACCUUUCUUAUUGUUUCGGAUGCAGUAGCUGCUGGCUAGCCUGAACCAAUUAGCUUUGUUGUUGACGCCUAUAAAAUAUGUUGAUUUGUAAAUGAAUUUUAUAUUAUACAUAAAACGAACUAUGAAGGCACAAAAAAUGAAAUAUAAGUGCAAGCAUCACCUAUUUUCUUUUUCUUAUUGCCUGUUGUGAAGUAUUUAAUGGCUUACUUGAUGUUGUUAAUGCCUAGAAAACAUGAUGAUAAUAAACAUGACUACAAUAUAAAUAUAAUAAAUAAUAAUAGUCACGUAUAAUAAACAAUGAUAAACAUAAUAAAUAAUAAUAGUAUAUUAAAUAUACCUGAAAAUAAUUGUUCAUCGCUUUAUUUGCCCUUGCAAUAGAUGGCCUCAACGGACAAGAUCUCACGUUGUAAUUACAACCACCACAAAAUGAGCAAAUGACAAAGAAUUUUCUUUUCUCUUUUUGAGGCUCAUUUGCUUCUCUUUUUCUGAAUUUUUUGGGCCUUUCAAUUUUUUUUGAACAAUUGGUGGGUCAAUCAACAGUCUUCCUGUAGGCUCCCAUGUACACUGAUCUGGAAAGGGGCUGAACAUCACUGAAUAUGUGCUAAGGUAAGCCUGUCUGCUAAAGCAAGUUGGAACACACUCCUGAACUUCAUGUCUUGUAUAUCCCAUGGUAGCCAUAGCAUGUGGACAAGGGAGGCCGACAAUUUUCCAAUAACCACAAUCACAUGUUCUAGAUUCUAGCUUCACAAUAAACCUCUUAGGUGGAUUAUAUGCUCUAUCCAUGACUUGAAAAUUAAGAUCACCAGAAGCUUGUACAAUCAUUUUCUGUGCAAUCUAUUUUUUUUUAUCCAACUCUUCCAAAACCUUAAGGGUCAGCUGUUUUUUCCAAGUGCCUGCCUCGUUUCUUCUUUUUGUAACCGUUUUAUAAGUCUAUAUCUUAUUUCUUCAAGCAUUGUCAAGUAAAGUUUGUCUCGGUAAAGUAAUAUCCAGCUGUUGAAGCACUCCAAUGCAUUGUUAUCGGUACGAUCUACCAUGCAAUUUCUGUCAUAUGUGUGCAUCGACCAAUUAUAACUAUGUAGUUCUUGUUCCAACUACUCAAAUGCAGCUUCUUUUUCAGCCUUAUGCCUCAUCAAAAUCAUGCUUGUUACAGCUCUUGGUAGCUUUCCAAACAACUGCUUCAACUGUGCACCAGCAAACGACUUGGAAAAAUUAGCAUAAACAUGCCUAGAACACGCCCUAUGAUAGGCGAUAGGCAAUAGGCCAUGUGUUUGAAAUUGCAUUAAUCAGCCCCUUUUGUCUAUCACUAAUGAAAGUGAUAUGCCUUCCAUCAUUCAAAUAACUUUUCAAGUUCUCCAUAAACCAUCCCCAUUUCUCUGCAUUCUCAAUCUCACAAACACAUAGCUCUAAGGGAAUAAUCCUAUUAUUACCAUCCAUGCCAACAACGACUAACAACACUCCACCGUACUUACCUUUCAAGUGACAUCCAUCUACUCCAAUAAAAUGUCUAUAGCCAUUAAGAUAUGCAUUUUUUUUGUGCUGGAAAGGCAACAAAAAACCUUUGGAAUAAUACCUUAUUAGGAAUAAAAAUAACAUCACAUAACACCUUGCAUACUGCUCCUGAAUAAGCUUUGUGAAUGGCAGCAUCAUAGUCAAAUAAUUUUUUAUAUCUCCUCGAACAAUCCCCAAAUACCUCAAGUCUUGCCUUUGUUUUAGCCCUAUACAGUAUCAUCUUCCCAAUCUUUAAACCAUAAGUCUCUUGCACAUGAUUCUUCAAAAUAUCAAUCUUAACAUUAGGGUCAACAACAACCUGACCCUUUAUUUUGGAAGCAAACCAAGCAGAGGUAACUUUCACUGUCUUGUUAGGAAGCCUACACUCGUGUUUUUUGUUGUAUUCUCGUAAUAUAAAACCAGUCCCAUCAUUCAGUUUUGCACCAGACAUGUACCAUGGACAAUCAACUUCUUUACAAGUUCCUACAAUUCGUCUUGGCUCACUAUAUACUGUUUUAAUGGCAAACUUUUUCUAAUCAUCACCUCAUGCAAUAUCUCCCUAAAAUGACCAACAUCUCUAAACAUAUGCCCUAAUUUAAGCUUAUGUUUCCCAUAUGCACCUACUUUGUACUCAUGUUGUUGUAAGUAAUUAGUUUAGCCUUUUUACCUCUUUAUUAGCAUCAGACAGAUUGUCAUCUGAAUUGGAUUCCAAGUCAUUGCUUUGACCCCUCUCAUGAUCUCCACUAUCCUCACUACCCUUGUCAACAAUAGUAGGUUCAGCAGCACCAUCAAAUUAAGCUUUCAUGAAUUCCAGACAUCAUCAUCAUUGUUAGCCCUUCUGUCUGAAUAGUCAAACAACAAUGCAUCCUCAUCAAAUUAAUCAGCCCCAACAACAACUUGUUCCCCAACAGUAGCUUGUUCACCAACAACAGCUUGUCUCCUGACAACAACUUGUCCCCUAAAAGCAGGAUAUCCCCCAACAUAAGCAUUUCCCUCAGCAGAUUCAUUCAACUGAGUAAUCAAUUCAUCAGGCAACACAACUCUUAGGUUCGUUAAUAAUACUUGCAGUAAGGAGAAAUCUUAAAACAGGGGGUGAAGAACUGGUACAACUUCAACAGUUAAAGUAUUGACACCCAAAAUUUGAUGAAUUCUAUGUAAAAAGCCGAGCCCAAAAUUUGAAUUCAGCGUAACUUUCAUUUUAUUCUCUGGGUUCGUAACAUUCAAUAGAAUUUUUGAAGUGGAGUCUAAUCCAUAUGGACUCGUAAUGUUUACAACAACCUCCUUUAUCUUCGCAAUAGUAUAGUCAGGUUCAAGUAACCCUAAAUUCUACUUCAUGCCUCAAUAGGAUAUCACUAACUCUAGAUGUGGCAUCUUGAAUGUCCAAAACAAACGAACAUAUUCACCAAAACGUACUUAAAUACAUUGAUGAGGCGUAAAUGCAAGUAUAUGAAGGAAAUAAAACCAAAAAAAUAAGUUAUUUUCUUAUUAUAUUGCAAGAGUCAUUAUACCUUGAAUUAAUAACGAAUUAUUAAUAUAUUUCAGGCAAGAAACUUAGAGGGAAGGCAUGGAAACAAACAUCCUGGAGGACUUUGUCAGAUUAUAAAUUAUAAUCUUUGAGAGAUUCAAAUUUCGCAUGCAUAUGCCAAACCUUCACCAGGGGGCUAGGGGAUAUGGAUACAUAUUGAUAAAAUUUUUCAAAAAAUCAUGACCCAUAGUGUUGCAACUAAAAAUUUUCAAAAACCCUAAAUUUUGUAAACCACAAGCACAAAUACAUGAGUGCGCAGGGGAUAAAUACGCAUUCAACCAUGCUAGCAACAAUCUUUCGUGCAUGUGCUUUUCACUAGCCUUAAAACAACAUAUUACUUCUCAAUUUAUCAUUACCAUAAAAAAUUUACUAUAAAUUAACUUAAUUUGUAUUCUAAGGUUUCAAGAAACAACGAUUAACAACGUUCUCGAUACAAAUCUUAAAUAACAUUAUUUCAUAUGAAAAAUAAAUGAAAGUUAAUAAAUAAAACGAAACUUACUUGAUACUAGCUUCAAACCCAGAAAACCUAAGUGUCGAGAUUCCUAAACGGCUCACAGCUUUCCUCAAUACCUCUGAACCUUUGAUUUAACAAAAGUUUUGACACUCAAACGUAGUUUGUUGAUGAAAAUGGAUGGAAAUUGCAGAAAGAAUGGCGGGAAUUUGUUGGUUCUUAAUGCAUGGUGGUGGUGGGUCACUCGUGAAUAAACAAUGUUUGUUCUCAUUUUCUCUUCUUUGGACCACUUUGCUUUUUUCUUUUUUUUUUCUCCAAUUAAAGUUGUAAACGACGUCCUUUUAGGCUGCUCUACUGAAAUGACUGAUUUGCCCCUAAGACAUCAGUAAUGUUACAACGAAUUCCAAACGGAAGUGGAAAAGUAAAACGAAAUGUAAUUUUAAGUGGAUUCCAGCAAAAAACAAUUGUCUAUUUUUAAAAAAGUUGGAAAAAAACAGGUGAAUGGUGGAUAUUUUCCCAAAAGAAAUUACUUAUUCAUUAAAUAGGAAUCCUACUAAAGAAGAAAAUAUCCUAGAAAAUUCUUAUUGAAAAAUAAGACAUGUUUUCCUAACACUUUUCAAUUUGUUUUAGAUUACCAUAAGGUUGAAUUUGUUAAUUUUUGAAUAAUUUUGUUUGUUAAAUGCAAUAUUUACUUUAUGUAUUACAAUAAACUUUUGACAAGGGAAGGAGAUGAAAGGAGAGAGAACAAGGUUAAAUAAGUAAUUGAUUAAAUUAUAUUUUCCCAAUAAAAAUUUUAAUUAAGGAAAGUGUUCUGUGAGAAAUUUAGUGGGUUCAAAUAGCCCUAACCAAAAUAUAUAUUUUUUGUAAAAAAAUUUAAAACUAACAAAAAGUAUAAGAUAAAUAUCGUAUUAUUUCUUUUUUAUUUACACCGAAACAUAUAUAUAUAUUAUUUUUGUGCUUAAAUCUUUAUUUUAAUUUAUAUGAUUUAUUUAAUUUAUAAUAAAUAUGAAUAAAAAUUUAUUUAAAAAUAAGGAUAAUACUGUAAAAUUAUAUUGUAAAGGAAAUUAUUAGUUAUUAUGAAAUUAAUAUGAGGUAAAUGAUAUAUAUUAAUUUUAGUAGGGAAGAAAUUAGCAAUCACCCAAAAAAACAUAGCCACCUUGUACCACCUCAUUCCGAAAAGCUUCUAUACAAGUAUAGCCAAUAAACUUUUCAAUACCCCAAAACUAAUCCAUAUUACACCUUCAUUAUUGUAUUCUCUAAACUCACAAAUCAGCCUUCUUUUCUCCUUUUUUACCCCUUCAGAUUCUUUAAUUUAAUGCCGUUUUUGCAGAUUUAUUAAUCUUAGGAUUCAAUAAUUGUCAUUAAUCUUACUUUGAUCCUAUUUAGAUUUCAAUUUGAAAAACCAUGUCCUUGACCUUGAUUUCUUGGGUGGAACAGAAAGCUAAUCCAAUGACGAGCGGAUUACUCGUCCUUUUGCUAUCGUUAUCUGAUAAAUUCAAAAAAUGUUCCCCUCUCAAUUUCUUGUGCUAUAAAUAAAUAAAUUCCGGUUUACGCCUUUACGAUGGGUACGUACAAAGAGAUAAAGCUUAUUAAUUAUUUUUUUUGGGUAAUUUUCGCAACAAAUACUUUAAUAAUAGAAAUUUUAUUAAAAAAUGAGGGAGAGUAUUUUAAUGGGUUUAAAAUAGUUCCUUCUUUAAUAGGUUCAAAAUAGCCCCUUCCUUUCUUCAAUUAGCUCAAGAGAGAUAAACAAUUAAUUGACAAAAGUUUAAAAGAAAAUUGUAUGAUGCUGUAAUUAAAAUUACGGUAUCAAUAUCAGAGUUAUUGUGUACCGUUAGAUUAGAUCAAUAGUUUGUAAUAAUUAUAAUAUGAUAAAAAAACUUAAUUAAAUUAUAUUUUAUCAGUUACUAGCCAGUUAAAUUUUUUUUAAAAGAAAAAUUUAUCUUGUUUAUAAUAGAUAUAAAAAAAAAAACGGAGUUGCCUUUAAAAAAGAAAAAUUAUAAAAGAUAAAAUGCAAUUCCUAAUUAACCUAUCCCAAAAGAGAAAGACAAAAGGCAAAGCAGUCGACCAUCACUUCGAAAUUGACCACCAAAGUUUUUAAUCCGACAAGAAGAAGAUUACAAUGAUGUCGUUGAGGAGAACGAGUCGAGUUCAUGUUCGUGAAGGGGCUUCGAGUACGUCGACUAUAAGGACUCGCAUUGGCGAUUCAAGAGGCUUAGAGUUUGAAUGCGAUUCGGACUGCUCUUGAGAAUAUAGAAGACCAUGUUGAGUUCUUACAUAUAAGAGUUUUUGUACCUUUUCUUUUCGUUUUUUUAGUAGCGUUUAUGUAAUUUACGAUAAUCUGCAUCUGUUUUGGUUGUGGUUUUUUCUUUUUGAAAACUUUGAGGGAGAAAGAUGAAAACUUUGAGUUUUAGGGUAAGUAACUUGGCUAACUGUCGAAUUAUGUAAUAGAACCAGUUCACUGGAAAAGCAAAACAUGCACGCCUGUUAGUUUAGUUACAAAUCAAAACAAUCAACUAGUCAGUAUAUGGCAUGGGAAUCAGGAUAAGUAGAGAUCAAGGAAUUAGUUCCAACUGGACGGACAACUAUAAUACCAAAUGAAGACUCUAUGUUCAAACCCAUUCAAUUGCUUGGCAUUUACAUUUUAAAAACCCAAAAAUAUGAAAUGAAAGCUAACUUGUUGUGAAUAUAAUGAAUAACGUUUUUGACCAAAUCAUUGUUUCUAACCAAAGAAAUAAAAGUCACUUUUUAGUUAAAACCUGCAAAUAUUGACAAAGUUGGUGUGAUCUUAGAUCAUUUAAACAAGAAAAAUAACAUAAAUUUGAAUAAGUUAGGUGGCAUUUUUUUUUCUCUGAAAUCUAAAUAGAUUUGAAUUAUUAUGAAUUAUAAAUAGGGCCGAAUGACUGAAUUUGAAUGAUAUGUUUGUCUUUUUGUCCAAAUCGCUAAAAAUAAAUAUUAAGGUAUUUUUUUAACUUAAAAAAUCUGAAAACUAAUAUUUUUACAUUUAUGCCCUUACAAAUUAUAAAUGUUAAACAAACAAAUAAAUAUGUCAAAGAAUAUAAAUAAGAUAAUAUAUUAUCAUAACAUAAAUCAUAUUCAAUUGAAUACAACUCUUUAAUAUUCUAUAUUAUAUACGUUAAUUAAUUUUAUUAUAGUUUAUGAUGUUUUAUAUGAAAAAUAUUCAUAAAAAAUUAUGAAGAUAAAUAUAGCUAAUUUGAAAAAAAUAAAAAGAUAAAAAUAAUAAUAGUCUACCACUAUGUAUUAUCACAAGUUAUAUAGAGAUGAGUAAUAAUACUAAUUAUUAAAUUUUACUUAGAUAAUAAUGAAAAUUAAUUAAUCAAUUAGAUAGAGAUAUUUUGGAAAAUAUCUUUUAAUGAUAUCAUUCAUACUUUUUAGAUUAAGUAAAAAGCUAAAAAAUAAUAAUAACUUAAAGACAUAAUGGCUAAAAAAUUUCACUAAGUUGAAAAAAUAAACAAACUUAAUGUUUAAGUAAUUAAAAUUAAGUCAAUUAAGUUAUUAAGUAAAAAAACAAACGACUCCUUAAAGUAGCAAAUUCUUCCCUGAUCCCACAUUUUCUGAGCAACCAAGCAGGGCCUUAAUUUAUUUUUAGCCAAACCCACAUCUUUCAAACAAAUGUGUCCCAUCAAUAGUCUAGCAGAAACCAAGUAAAGCUAUUUUUUUUCUUCUUUUAAAGAAAACUUGUAGUUUCUUCAUUGUGAUUAAUUUUUCUUUUUUCAGUUACCAGACUUCAAACUUCAUGUAGCGUGGGAGUUCUAUUUCCAAGAUGCACGACAUUUGCUGCAUGCUGAUUGCUAAUUGCUCCGGAUGGACCAAACACAUCAUUAAUCAUUUUCCUAUAUCUCUUUUUUGCUAUUCUUUUUAGUCUAAUCACAGGAAAUAUAAUACCCUGCAUUUAACAGAANNNNNNNNNNNNNNNNNNNNNNNNNNNNNNNNNNNNNNNNNNNNNNNNNNNNNNNNNNNNNNNNNNNNNNNNNNNNNNNNNNNNNNNNNNNNNNNNNNNNUUUGAUGACACAACAGUUUAUAUACAAAAGAAAAGAGAAAAAAUAAAAAUCUCUAUCGUUAGACACAAUCAAUGGCAAUAACUGGUAUAUACAUGAUCCUUAUUUUCUUGAUUUGUAGGCAUUACAGUUUGUCUUCAUUGUGAGUUGUCGCAAUAUCUUUGCCUAUCUUUUUUCUAGUUUUUUUUUAAAACUUUUUUUCGUCUUCUUUCUUUGAGGAACCUACCGAUCAAAACUCUAAUUAAAUUCGGGAUUGUUGGAGUUGAAUUUUCAACCAUCAGUACUUUAAGCUUAAUUUUAUCAGAUAUUAAUUGAUUGUUUAUGUUACUUCCUAUGCUGCUGAUUCAUGCUAGCUCCAAAGACGUUUGUAUAUGUAAUAAACCUAUGUCUAUCCACGAUGAAAUCUCAUAAUUAAGGUCAAAACAUAGAAUUAGACUCAUUAACUUGUGGGAGACAGAUCUGAGACUAUGGCAUCAAUUCUCCGAUUGAUUCAAUUUUCAAUUCUCAAGCAAGUGGGCAUUUUGACUAAUUUUGUUUUACUAUUGCCUAGCUUUUCGUUUAAUUAUAUAUAUAUAUAUAUAUAUAUACAUAUAUGUAUAUAUGUGAUGCAUGUGAUACUGGGUUUGCUUAUUGAAAAUAGAAAAAAAAAAGUCGUUAAUUAUGUAGGCCCUAUGGACAGAAAAUGGGUGUUGAUUAAAAAUUAAAAAGAUUUGUGUUGCGCUCUAAUUUAACUUGUUAUGUUUUGAUACAACUGAUUGUGCUACAAAGCAUCAUUUGUUGUAGUCUAAUAUCACUUGUGCGCAAAACGCACAAUCAAUAUGCACUAAAUAUUUACAUAAAAAUAAAAAUAUGAGAAUUUAACGUGAUUCAGUAACAAAGCCUACGUCCACGAAGGUAAGCGAGAAUAAUUGUUUUACUAACAAUUAACGGAGUACAAGUUUGAAUAAUAAAAUCUCACUUCCCAAAUACUAAAAUACACCCAAUACUCUCACACACUCUUGGAAGAACCAAUUUCCCUGUUGUGCAAAUUUUAUUGUAUUCGCAGCGCACGAAUCUAUCGCAAUACAGAUUUAUAAUGAUGAGUGUCGUCCCACUAGUAGGUAGAUUUAAUUAUGCGUAGGGUUAAUUUUGUAAUUGUGUAUGUAAAAUAAUUGGAGAUGAUUUUUGAGUAAUACUAAGAUUCAAAAUAAAAUGGUAGGAAUGAAUUAAAGAUGAAACAAUGCAAAUAAAGGGCUUGAGUCUCUAGAUUCACACUCAAUAUUUCACCAUGAUCUUAAUAUUCCUUUUUAGUUCCAAUUAAUUUAUUGGAGGGGGGGGAUUAUUUCCACUCCUCAUAAGCAUCAUUCUAAUAAAUAUGGUAUCAAGCACUUAAUGUGCCAAUGAAUAAUGAUCUUCUGCUAAGUGUGGUGUCAAAAACACAUUGUGUCGGACAAUAAAAAUCUGUCAAUAAUGUGGCAAGACUAUCCAUGAAAUAACUUUGAUACACUUUCUGUCAACAUUAAAUCAAGACGACCCAUAAAUGCUAGAGGGGGGUCUCUUUCAAAUAAAUAUGGUAUAAAGUACUCAUUGUGCCAGACAGUAACAAUCUUUCACUAGAGAGCCAGUAUACCAUGUAAAAUUUAGACAAGAUACAUUGUCUAUCGACAAUGAGUCAAAACAACCACAUAAUAUUAGAGAGAAAAAGAAAAUAAACUUACAAAUUAAGCCCAUAGAUCAUGUUGAGCCUUCACCUUCAACCUAAACUUGAAAUUAAAUUAGUCACUCAUAAUGGAAUUAUGAGUAAAAUGAUAAUUUUAUUAAACUACGUAGAAAAUACAAGAUGAAGUGAGAAUUACAGAAAAUAAAGCCCAAAUUCAAAUUUAGAUAUGUCCAAUUAGGGGGAGCCCCUUUUUUAUAUAUACAGCCCCUAUUUAUAAAUAUAAUAAGUAAAUCAUAGCAUUUGAACGAAAACAAUUCGAACGCUUUGGAUUGCGCCACAUGGCAAGAUCAGAUUAGUUGGAACACAUCAUCAGGUCCAAUAAUGUGCUACCACAUUAUUGGUCAAUGCCACAUCAGCAAUUUUCGGUCCAAUUGGAUAUUACCACGUCAUCAAUCAAUGCCAGGUAAGCAUUUUAUGAUCCAAUAGGAUAUUGCCACGUCAUCGAUCAAUGUCGCAUCAUUAGUUAAUGCCAUGUCAGUUGGUCAAUGUCACAUCAGAUGGGCCCUACCAAAAUCUAAACUUAUGAUUUUGCCCUUUAUACACUUCCUAAGUUUUUCAGCUGUUCCAAGUUAAAAAAUCAAUUUGUUUUGCUCUCUAACUUCUCGCUAAUCGUAAAAUGAUAAAAAUACCCCGACAAUAUAUAAAACACUCACAUUAUAACAAAACACAUAAUAUUAAAGUUUAAAAAACUUAAAUAUAUAAAAGUAGAAAUGUUAGUGAGGAUUGGAGCUGAAAAUAACAAUUAUAUCCUUUAUAAAUAUGCAUUCUCCAGCACUCAAUAUUCCCUAAGAUAUAAAUUUUCUCACAUCUUUACAAAUAGUAUGGAACCCAACUAAGCAUCCAGGGAAAGGCCUCCCAAACUUUCUAAGAGUUCACUUGCAAAUGCUCUCUUUUUCUGGACUCUCUCAUAGGGAACUCUCACUGCACUCUCUUAGAGAGCUCUUCACCUAAGCUAUGUACUCUAUAUUUUGGAAUGCUUUACCCUCUCCAAAUGAAGCUUUAUUUAUAGGCGGGCUAUCACCGUAAAAAGUCUAAUAAAUUGGCAGCUACUUUUUUCCUUUUUGACAAAUUCAUGCAUAUGGCAAAAAUCUUUACAAAUUGUCAAAAUUCAGUUCUUAUUCUUGUCGACAAUUUGUGUGUGAGCCACUUUUUUUUUUUUAAUUUCUGCCUCGGUGAAGAUUUGUCCAAAUUUGAGUCGAUUAGUAAUGAACCAUCAUCCGCAAAGUAAUUUUUCAUUAGGGAUCCAAAAUGGUUGUGUCGUUUCGACUACCUACAUAACUAGCUACUAGGAUCAAGCCGAUCAUAAUUCACGAUUCCUGAAGGCAAUGCCUUACCAAUUGUCCAAAUUUGAGUUCUUAUUCUUGUCGGUAAUUUGCGUGUGAGCCACCUUUUUUUUUUUAAUUUCUGCCUCGGUGAUGAUUUGUCCAAAUUUGAGUCAAUUAGUAAUGAACCACCAUCCACAAAGUAAUUUUUCAUUAGGGAUCCAAAACGGUUGUGUCGUUUCGACUACCUACAUAACUAGCUACUAGGAUCAAACCGAUCAUAAUUCACGAUUCCUGAAGGCAAUGCCUUACCAAUUGUCCCAUACUCAUAUUAAAGAAUCCACAUCAUUGCACGCUAGUGAAUUUCACCCAAAUUUACUAACUAUGUUCAUUGUUUGAGAUAUAUAGGGCCUUCUACAUACCAUCACAUCUAUAAGACUACCAUAGCACAAGCUUAUGACACAUGAGCUAUAUUCCCGUGUUUCACUUGAGGAAAACAACAUGAAGAAGAGCUUAAGAGCUAGAGGAGUAUAAACUAGUUUGGCCAUUGUCAUUUAUACUAAACAUUUCUAGCAUGUUUUCCAAAAUAGACCUUUGAGUCAGCAAUAUGCUCCCAUUCUUGAUGUCUUUACAAAAUCUUUAACCUAAGCGUUCUCUGUGCAUCACCAAGUCUUUCAUCUUGAACGUAAAAGCCACUUGCUUCUUUAAUGUUAUCUCAAUUCUUUGAAGCUAUAAGCCUUUCGUUGAUAUAGAAUACCAAAUGGAUGAAAGCUUCAUCUUGUAGUAUUCUAGAGUAAACAUAGUGUUCAUGUUUACUUUUGGUGAUUCUGCCCUUAAUCAAAUUUCGUGUACCCUUAUUUCUCAACUACUUCAGUUUGUAUAAAAAUUUAACUAUCUUACUUCAGUUUUGUAUAAAAAUUUAACUAUUUUUGGUGAUUUUUCCCUUAAUUAAUUCUCUUGUACCCUUGUUUCUUAACUACACACAUGAAUAUUCCUUCAGAAACUUUGAAACCAUAGGACUGAGUCAUUUAGAUCUCUUCUUCCAAAUCUCCAUGUAAAAACACCGUCUUAACACCUAACUGAGCCUGACUCUAACUCAUAUUCCAAAACUAAGGUAAUUUAAAUACAAAUGGAAGUAUUUUUCACAACUAGAGAGAAAAUAUCUCCAUUCUGAGUAAAUCCUUCUGCUACAAGCCUUGCUUUAUAAUGAAGAGUUACUUAUUUUAGAGAUCCUUGCUUCUCGGUGUAGCCUCAUUUAUUGCCAAUAGCCCUCAAUCCUUUAGGUAACUUUACGAGUUUCUCAACAAUUCUUCACUUGAAUUGUUUCUCUCAAUUUUUUGGGAUACUUUCAAUGAACAAUUGCUCCUCUAUUUAUAGCUGAACCUUGCCAUGCAUGCUAGCCAUUUUCAAAGUAAAAGUCUUGGCACUUUUCAAAUUUUCAAGGUUCGGUGCCAACCUUGGCGGCACAUUCAACCUUUCUAUGCUAUGUUUAAUCAAAGUCAAAGAGGUUGCGUGUGCUCAAAAAUAUCUUCCCAUCGAUCUUCCAAUCCAGCAUGUUCGUUUCACAGCUUCAAUGAAAGUCUUUAAAUCAGUAUACUUCAAAAGAUUAAUAAUCUUGCUCCGCUGUUCCCAACUAUCAUCAAUAUAGUGUAGUUAAUUUCACGAGAAAAUACUCAUCUUCAACUCUAUUUUUUUCUAAACUAAAACGACAUGACAGUUUACUAAGAAAAUGGCCAAAUUUUAUCUUCUCUUCUUGGUAGACUUGGAGUAUUUCAACCUUUUUGAAGUUUAGAAAACAAAGAUCCUCGGUAAUAUUUCCUUCGGCAUUAAAGGUGUGUGUUUAAUAUUAUCAUCUAAAUCUCCUGUUUGAUUGAUUUAUCUUGAUCACCACCAAUAUUAAUUUUAUCACCUUUUCUCUUAUCUCGGCUUUUCUUUGACACCAACUGAUUCUUGAGAUGUGUGGUUCCUUUCUUGCUUGAACCAUCCAACUCCUUUUCGCAAAUAUUACAUAUAGACCAUUCCAUUCCAUCUUGUCCUUUAUACUUUCUGAACUCAUCCCAAACAUUUGACUUCAACUUUCUUCUUUUGGUUUCCUGUUAAAUUUAACAUUUGCAAGAAUAAUUUUCAUUUUUUAGUAUUGAAAUCAAUUUUUUACUGUUAUAUCAAAUUAAGCAGUUCAUGUGACUAUUUAUGAACCCGAAAGGUUCUAAUUAACCCAUUAAAGCAAUUCUUGGGUGUCUGUUAUUUUAUUUUAUUUUCUCUCAAGAAAAUAACUAUAGAAAAAUAGGAAACAUUUUCUGCUAUUGAAUUAUAUUUUGUGGAAUUAAUUAAUUAUUUUUUUAAAACCUAUAGGGAGAAAGGAAACGCACCUCCAUGGCCAGUACCGCGUCAAAAACUUGAAUUAAUUCAGAGCCUGCAAAACGAACAAUUACAUAUACCACUUACCACAACAAAAGACAUAUCACAUAUAUAUAAAUUAAAGAAGAGCAAAAGCAAUUAAUAAAACAAAUUUAAAAAGAAAAGCAAAAGUAAUUACUAAAACAAAUUUUAAAAAAAUGCGUACUUUAAUUUGAAUGAGAAUUGAAAAUUGGAUCAAUCGGAGAAUUUAUGCCAUAGUCUCAGAUCUAUCUCUCUCAAAUUAGUCUAAUUCUAUGCUAUGACCAUAAUUAUGUGAUUUCAUUUUGUGUGUAGACAUAGAUAUACAAAAUAACCACACACACACACACACACACAAAGGCUUCGAAGCCCGAAUGAAUGAGCAGUAAAGGAGGUAACAUAAACAAUUAAUCAGAUUUAAAUAUGAUAAAAUUAAUUUGAAAAUUAAUGUGAAAGCAAGGGUAAAAGUAUUGAUGGUUGAGAUUUCAAUUCGAAGCAUGCAUCCCAAAUUUAAUUAGAAUUUAAUUUGAGUUUUGAUCGGCAGUAUCCAAAAGAAAGAAAAGGAAAAACCUAAAAAAAGACGAGCAAAGAUAUUAUCAGUACUCAUAAUUAAGAUAAACUGCUAUGCCUCCUACAAAAUCAAGCAAAUUAAUGAGGAUAUCAUGUAUAUACUAGUUAUUGGACUUUAAUUUUGUCCAAUGAAUUUUAUAUUUUGUUUCGUGUAUUACUCCUUUCUUAAUUAUGCGAUUUCAUUGUGUGUUUAGACGUAGAUAUACAAAAUAUAUAUAGACAAAAGGCUUCGAAGGUCGAACGAAUGAGCAGUAUAGGAGGUAAUAUAAUUAUAUAAACAACUGAUCAAAUUAAAAUCUGGUAAAAUUAAUUUGAAAAUUAAUGUGAAAGCAAGCCAAAAAGUAUUUGAUGGUUGAAAAUUCAAUUGUAUCCAUCCCAAAUUUAUUUGGAAUUUAAUUUGACUUUUGAUCGGUAGGAUUCAAAAAAAAAAAAAAAAGGAAAAAAAUGAAAAACCAGAAAAAAGAUGGCAAUGAUAUUGUCAUUAUUCAUAAUUAAGAGAAACUGUCAUGCCUCCUACAAAAUCAAGCAAUGAUAAUAUCAUGUAUAUGCUAGUUAUUACCUUUAAUUUUGUCCAGUGAAUUUUAUAUUUUGUUUCGUACAAGUUAUUACUCCUUUCCUUUUUCUAGGUUAAUUUUAUUUUUUUUAAUUUUUUUGAAAUAGGAUCUUUAUGGACUUGAAAGAAUAUAGGCAAAUUAAAUGUCUUUGGUUGGGUUUACAUAUAUAAAUAUGACAGAAAAGCACCGGCGUCUAUAGAGAUUAAACAACACAUUCUUCAAUCUGUAUUUGCAUCAUAGCCAUCACCAACUAACCAACAUUACAGCCAUGGAUGAAGAAAGCACUGAACCGUUUGAAUGGCCGAGUGUGAUCUUUCCUUUAUGUUUCACCUUGACCCUUGGAUUCAUGGCUUUAUUCUAUAUAUGUUCCAGUUAAAACCGAGCUUCCUCCUUCAGUUUAUGUUUUUUCUUUUGCCCUUCUGCGCACGUUGCUUAUUCUCUUCGUUUCCAGACUGAUCUCCCAAAAACAUCCAUUUGCUUCCCAAGUCAUGGAGAUAGUUUCUUAUCUACCAGGGGUGAAGUAUGCUUCUUGGGCAACAAACUGAUCUUGGGAAGCCAAUGGAUGUUUGUGGGAGAUGAGUUUGGAAGCAAAAAGAAUAAGAAACGUGAGCAGAAGGGCAACAGAAUCAACAUAAACUGAACGAGAAAGCUCGGUUUUAACUGAAGCAUAAGAUAAAGCGAUGAAUUCAGGGACCGAGUUGAAACAAAAAGGAACAAUCGCACUCGGGCAUUCAAACUUUUUUGUGGUUUCUUCGUCCAUGGCAGUGAUGUUUCUCAGUUGGUGAUGGCUUUUAUUUUAACGAAGAUCGAAGAAUGUUGCGUUGUUUAAUCUCUGUAAAUGCAGGUUCCUGCUCUUUCCAUCACAUAUAUAGACUCUAAUAUAGAUGGCGCACAUGGGAGAAAUAUUGUGACCAAAUCCCUAGCUAAUGUUCAUCUAUUUGAUUAUAGAUAGAAAAUGCUUGUUACCCAAACCCCAGCGUAUUAAUCAAUUUUACAUAUUUGGAAACUUGGUCUCUAGCUGUUUGAUGGUGACGCCAAAUGUCAUAUCGGUCCUCUUAAAAAAGGGAUUUGUUGGUGGCCGAAAUGUGAUUGGAUCUUUCCUAAUUUUUUGUUGAGAAAUUGGAUAAAAUGGCCAUUGAAACAGUGGCGGAUCUAAAAGAAUAAUUUAUCGGGGACUAAAUUAGAUAAUAGUAAAAUAUA